rnacentral:rRNA from 1 species
CCUACGGGAGGCUGCAGUGGGGAAUAUUGGACAAUGGGGGCAACCCUGAUCCAGCCAUGCCGCGUGUGUGAAGAAGGCCCUCGGGUUGUAAAGCACUUUCAGUGAGGAAGAACGCCUGGUGGUUAAUACCCAUCAGGAAAGACAUCACUCACAGAAGAAGCACCGGCUAACUCCGUGCCAGCAGCCGCGGUAAUACGGAGGGUGCGAGCGUUAAUCGGAAUUACUGGGCGUAAAGCGCGCGUAGGUGGCUUGAUAAGCCGGUUGUGAAAGCCCCGGGCUCAACCUGGGAACGGCAUCCGGAACUGUCAAGCUAGAGUGCAGGAGAGGAAGGUAGAAUUCCCGGUGUAGCGGUGAAAUGCGUAGAGAUCGGGAGGAAUACCAGUGGCGAAGGCGGCCUUCUGGACUGACACUGACACUGAGGUGCGAAAGCGUGGGUAGCAAACAGGAUUAGAUACACUUGUAGUC